CGUCGUGCAAUGGAUAGCGUGUUGGACUUUGGAUCCAAAGGUCGUGGGUUCGAAUCUCACGUGAAUGC